rnacentral:lncRNA from 1 species
ACGAGGUUAGUUUGUUCCGUGCCCUGAAGCAUGAUGGAAGCCUCCAAGACUCAGACCUCCUGCUACUCCUCACCACACAGUCCAGUCCUCUCUACGUGAGAAGAAAGGCCAUUGGAGCGUCAGGAAGACCCCCAAGACUGAACUCCUACUUUCAUUCUAAAACACUAAGAAUCUCACUAUGAGAUUCUACACAUAUGGAACUUGGUUUACCACUUGGAUCGUACUUUCAUCACUUUGUAAUCAUAUACUUUUUUUUUUCCAAUCAACAUAUACAUAAUCUCAACAAUAUACAUUACUCACAAAUCACAAGUUAUGAAAGUAACUGCUCCAUAAUUGAAUUUCAGUAGUAGAUAUUAACUCGUCAAACACAAGGUUUUACUUCAACAAAUAAAAUAUUACCACAACACAUAAAAAUUAUGCAACUUUUAUAAUUUAUUUUACAUACAUAAUAAUUCCUCAUUUGUUUCAUCUCUUAAUUUAUAUGUUUAUUUACUAACAAAACAUAAAACUACUAUUAUAAUGAUAAUAGUAUAUAAUUUAAAUUUAUGCCAGUCAAUAAAUUAAUUAGAGGUUAAACUUACAGAAUUCUAAUAUUAAUAUAUUAUAAUAUAAUAUUAACAAAACUAAGUUAACAUUUCUAUACUGUUAUAUAUCUAAUAUAUAUACUAAUCUGUAUAAGUUGAUAAUUAUUAUAUAAUAUAAAAGGUUCACCACAAAAAUUAUAGAAUAAGCAUAUUAUGUAAUAUAUAAUAUUAUGAAAUAUAUAAUAUAACGUAAUAUACUAUUUAAUCUUAGCAUUGCUAUUUCCAAAACUAAGUUACAGUAUUCCUAUCCUUUAAAAGGUUUUCCCAAACUUUUAAAAAAGAACAAGUAUGAUUCAUUUCUUUAAUAAAAGCAUCACAUAAACUAAGAAUUGUUUAUACAAGGUCUCUGCAUCACGUGAUCAACCAAUUUAAACAUAAAUUAUACAUCAUAGAAUAUAAAAUACAAAAUAUAUUUAACAUUAUACAAUCUAAUAUUUUUUUUCAGAAUAUAUAACUUAAAUUAUAACUUUUGUAUUUUAAAUUGUCUAUUUCAAAAUAAAAUAAAUAUAUUUUAAAUUGUAUAUUUUAAAAUCUAAGAUAAAAAUACAUUAUAAAAAAAUGCUUAAAUUUACUUAUAAAUUACAGAAUCCUUAUGGAAUCAUAAUAUUUAUGAAGAUUAUGGAAGUGCAAGAAAAUAUAUUCAUAAGACAUACUAAGAAAUUUUUACAUGGCACUGUAAAGAUAUAAAAAUAUAAAUCACAUCUCCUCUGCCAAUUCACAACACUUCUUCCUUUUUAUAUUUCUCAAACAAUCUUACAGUACCCAUACUUAUAUAAUAAAUAUGCAGAAAACUCCAUUCCUCUUAUCUUCACUAAACCCAUCUAUAUUUCAACAAUCAAUCCCAUCAUAACAACUUACAACCAAUACAUUUUUACAUGCACAAUUUUCAGAAUCAUAACACAAGUCAAUUUAUACUCAACAGGUACAUAACAGUUUAAAUCAACACAUAAUUCAGGAUUCAACAUGCAUAUAUCUCAUAAAUUAAUUUCAAACAAAAAUAACUAGCUUCCCUUACCUUGGGUUUUCACGGUAAGCUAAUUUGAAGACUUCCUAAUAGAAAUUCUCACCCGAACAGAAAAACAACAGUACCUAUAAACCACCAUAUCGGCGGUAGAGAAUAACUCUUGGAGUGAGAACUUAACAGAAAUUAGAAAAAGGAGGGUUCUAACUGCAUAAAAUCAGUAGAACCCCAAGCUCUAAGUUUCGAAAAUAGUGGAGAAAAGGAGAAAAUAUACUUACCGGUCGGAAUGGAAGAACGCCCGGUUCAAAUUGAAGCCCUCGGUGCAGUGAGCAAGGAAACACUUUCAAAUUAAAAUUUGAUCGGUUCAAUGAAUAGAAAUUUAGAGAGAAGACAGAGCAAUAUUUGGGAAAAAGGGUUUGAGAGAGAGUGGAAA